rnacentral:lncRNA from 1 species
CUGAAGAGCAUGGCCCGACAAACUGUAUAACUGGAGCGAUGAAUGUAGCUGCAGACAUGGAACCAACCAACUUGAUCAAUGCCCCGCCUAGAAGGCGCAAAGCAGAAGAGAAGCAACAAUACCUACAUGUUCAUAGUCAUGAGAGUGAUGAAACUGAAUCAUACAACAUUCUAUCACGAAGCAUUUAUCUUAACUUCCAUAUGCGGGUGAUGCAUGCAGAUAGAUCACUUUUCCUCAUAACAGAUAAUGGAUUAACUUUGGAAUAUCUAAACAGCAAUAGUGUUUGGCUAUGGCUAAGACAUGAACACAUUACAGGCAUGAAGGGUGCACUAGGAAGCUAUAAUGGCAGCUUGUAUCUUGUCGAUCUUCAUGGAAACUUACAUAUUAGAGAAAGAAAUGGAGACGAACUCUUAUGGAUUAAUUGCACGGCAAUGAGGAAGGGAAGACAGGUUGCAAGUGGGCCUCCAUGGGAUGGCAUCCCUGGGUUAUCACGCAGAGUGACAACAGAUGAUGCACUUUUCUUUGUUAACAAGAGAGGCAGAUUGCUACAAUUCACGGUAGAAGUCCAAACAUGUUUUAAUUCCACUAAAUGUUUGUCUUAUUAAGCAAAAGAUAAAGUAUGCACUUUCAUACAAGAUAUUGCAUUAACUUAUAGAGUACAGAAGUAGUUAAGAAUUCACUGAUAGGAGUAUAGCUAGAGAACUGGAACACAUGCACACAAAAUUCAGCAUCAUAAUAAAUGCAGAAAAUCAGUCUUUCUUCAUAUCCUUUAAUAUUCCAGGAUAGAUAGUUCAUACGAUUUGUCUUUCCAUGAUUACUUGGUAGAUAUGGCCAAUGCAAUAGUUUUAACAUACAAAUCAGCGAUAUAUCAGAAGUUUUAAGAAUCAUGACCAGAUUGGCUAGAGGUGCAAUCAUGUUAAAUACAUGAGCUCCUAACAAAUUUAGGACAAAUCGCAAUGAUAAUCGAGAACCAACCACCCUUAUGUUCUUCCCACCUUCACACUAAAGGGAGGAGGCUAAUAAUUAUCGGGUUUUUUUCUCAAACAACACCAAAUUCAAAUGUGUUCUGCUGUCAAUAUAGUUUAGAGUAUACAUUCAUCUGGGAAAAAAUAUAUCCCAAAUUACAUAAUGUUUUGUCCUUAAAUUGCUUGACUUCUCUUAAAAAUAAAAGUUGUUUUAAACAUUUUCAGGUUGCAUUGCGUAAAUUCAAGUGGAAGGACUGCCACAGCCCUCCGGAUACCAAGGUUGCAUUCAUCGUGGAUCAGGAGGUUUUUAGAAGAAAUAUCAUCUUCGUGGUUGGCCGGAACGGUCGGAUGUACCAGUACAACAGAAUUACAGAGCUAUGGCACAGGCACUACCAAUCACCUCACCUCGUCCUGUCAAGAUCCCCUGGGACAGCGAUGAGGCCGUCCCCUCUCUCCCUCACAGGCUCCAUCUUCAUGAUUUCCGAGCACGGAGGCCUCGUGGAGUACCACUUCAGCCCGCAGGACGGGUGGGAGUGGAUAGAGCACGGGACGCCCCACCGGGACGUCACCCUCGUGGUCGCCCCAGGGCCGUGCUUCGACGGCACCCAGCUGUUCGUCAUCGGGUCCGACGGACACGUCUACCUGCGGCAC